rnacentral:rRNA from 1 species
GACGAACGCUGGCGGCGUGCUUAACACAUGCAAGUCGAACGGAAAGGCCCUGCUUUUGUGGGGUGCUCGAGUGGCGAACGGGUGAGUAACACGUGAGUAACCUGCCCUUGACUUUGGGAUAACUUCAGGAAACUGGGGCUAAUACCGGAUAGGAGCUCCUGCUGCAUGGUGGGGGUUGGAAAGUUUCGGCGGUUGGGGAUGGACUCGCGGCUUAUCAGCUUGUUGGUGGGGUAGUGGCUUACCAAGGCUUUGACGGGUAGCCGGCCUGAGAGGGUGACCGGCCACAUUGGGACUGAGAUACGGCCCGGACUCCUACGGGAGGCAGCAGCGGGGAAUAUUGCACAAUGGGCGGAAGCCUGAUGCAGCAACGCCGCGUGCGGGAUGACGGCCUUCGGGUUGUAAACCGCUUUCGCCUGUGACGAAGCGUGAGUGACGGUAAUGGGUAAAGAAGCACCGGCUAACUACGUG